rnacentral:tRNA from 1 species
AGGCAGAAGUGCAAAGCAAAAUGAUUUCGGCUCAUUCCGUGGGUAAAUUUACCCUCCGCCUU